rnacentral:lncRNA from 1 species
CACAAUCUUAGCUCACUGCAAGCUCCACCUCCCAGGAUCUCGCUAUUCUCCUGCCUCAGCCUCCCGAGUAGCUGGGAUUACAGGCGCCCGCCACCACGCCCGGCUAAUUUUUUGUAUUAUUAGUAGAGACAGGGUUUCACCGUGUUAGCCAGGAUGGUCUCAAUCUCCUGACCUCGUGAUCCGCCUGCCUCGGCCUCCCAGAGUGCUGAGAUUACAGGCAUGAGCCACCGCGCCUGGCCUGGGAGGCCCUUUCUAUGAA